UUCUGAAGUCCGAGAUGAAUUCCUUGGAAAGUGCUCGAAAAAAACUUAGCCAGUUUCCGCUACACUUGACGAAAUGCACUAAACAGGCAACUGAUUAUGGCAAGUGCGUGACUGUAAGGGACAAUUUGUCGCAGAACGACUGCGCAAGAGAAUUCGCUGCACUUAAGGAAUGCUUCACUAAGGCUGUGAAAGACGCUGCCAAGAAGUAGAGCCUCGCACGUCCCGACACCCGGCGCCACCGCCACCCCCUCACCAGCGCCACCAUGCAGGAAGCGUCGGCGGCGACGACGACGGCGACAACGAUGACCCGCGCGGGAGCGUUCGGGUCCGCGACUAGCAUCGGCACGGACUGGUCGGAUGGCGGCA